rnacentral:rRNA from 1 species
UACGUAGGGUGCGAGCGUUAAUCGGAAUUACUGGGCUUAAAGCGCGUGUAGGUGGAUGGGUAAGUACCUUGUGAAAUCCCACGGCUCAACCGUGGAACUGCUGGGUAUACUGCUUGUCUUGAGGCACUCAGGGGCAGCUGGAACAAAUGGUGGAGCGGUGAAAUGCGUAGAUAUCAUUUGGAACGCCAAAGGCGAAAGCAGGCUGCUGGGAGUGAUCUGACACUGAGACGCGAAAGCCAGGGGAGCAAACGGG